AUUGAACGCUGGCGGCAUGCCUUACACAUGCAAGUCGAACGGCAGCACGGGAGCAAUCCUGGUGGCGAGUGGCGAACGGGUGAGUAAAGUAUCGGAACGUGCCCAGUCGUGGGGGAUAACGUAGCGAAAGUUACGCCAAUACCGCAUACGAUCUAUGGCUGAAAGCGGGGGAUCGCAAGACCUCGCGCGAUUGGAGCGGCCGAUAUCAGAUUAGGUAGUUGGUGGGGUAAAGGCUCACCAAGCCGACGAUCGGUAGCUGGCCUGAGAGGACGACCAGCCAUACUGGGGCUGAGGCACGGCCCAGACUCCUACGGGAGGCAGCAGUGGGGAAUUUUGGACGAUGGGCGAAAGCCUGAUCCAGCCAUGCCGCGUGCAGGAUGAAGGCCUUCGGGUUGUAAACUGCUUUUGUACGGAACGAAAAGGUUUGGCCUAAUAAGCUGAGCUCAUGACGGUACCGUAAGAAUAAGCACCGGCUAACUACGUGCCAGCCGCCGCGGUAA
rnacentral:rRNA from 1 species